rnacentral:rRNA from 1 species
ACUCCUACGGGAGGCAGCAGUAGGGAAUCUUCCACAAUGGGCGCAAGCCUGAUGGAGCAACACCGCGUGAGUGAAGAAGGGUUUCGGCUCGUAAAGCUCUGUUGUUAAAGAAGAACACGUAUGAGAGUAACUGUUCAUACGUUGACGGUAUUUAACCAGAAAGCCACGGCUAACUACGUGCCAGCAGCCGCGGUAAUACGUAGGUGGCAAGCGUUAUCCGGAUUUAUUGGGCGUAAAGAGAGUGCAGGCGGUUUUCUAAGUCUGAUGUGAAAGCCUUCGGCUUAACCGGAGAAGUGCAUCGGAAACUGGAUAACUUGAGUGCAGAAGAGGGUAGUGGAACUCCAUGUGUAGCGGUGGAAUGCGUAGAUAGUAUGGAAGAACACCAGUGGCGAAGGCGGCUACCUGGUCUGCAACUGACGCUGAGACUCGAAAGCAUGGGUAGCGAACAGGAUUAGAUACCCUGGUAGGAUAGCG